rnacentral:lncRNA from 1 species
CGCCGCCGCCCGCAGCGAUGAUCUUCCCCAGCAGCAGUGGCAACCCCGGGGGCAGCAGCAACUGCCGGACGCCCUAUCGCAAGCAGAUAGAGUCUUACUUUGGUGCCCAGGCUGAAGAGCAGAGCAGUGGCAUGAUCUCAGCUCAGUGCAGCCUUGACCUCCCGGCUCAAGUGAUCGUCCCACCUCAGCUUCCCCAGUAGUUGGACACAGGUGUGAACCACCACACCCAGCUAAUUUUUUUUUCCUUUUUGUAUAAAUGGGAUUUUGCUAUGUUGCCCAGGCUGAUCUUGAAUUCCUGGGCUCAAGUGAUCACCUGCCUUGGCUUCCCAAAGUGUUGGGAUGCAGGCGUGAGCCACUGCAUCCAGUCUCCAAACUGCUUUAAUUAACCUGUUUGAUUUUUGUAUCUUCUUGUAAAUGGUACAGAUAAUGAUCUUGUAUGCUACUCAAAAAUUCUUAAUAUAAAUAAAUACAAAAAUAGAAAUGGGUGGCAUUCACGAGCAUUUUUUGGGAGCUUUAAAUUAUCAAUUUCAUAGGUGUGUUUCCUUU